rnacentral:rRNA from 1 species
UACGUAGGGUGCAAGCGUUAAUCGGAAUUACUGGGCGUAAAGCGUGCGCAGGCGGUUUUGUAAGUCUGAUGUGAAAGCCCCGGGCUCAACCUGGGAACUGCAUUGGAAACUAACGGGCUCGAGUGUGGCAGAGGGGGGUGGAAUUCCACGUGUAGCAGUGAAAUGCGUAGAGAUGUGGAGGAACACCGAUGGCGAAGGCAGCCCCCUGGGCUAACACUGACGCUCAGGCACGAAAGCGUGGGGAGCAAACAGG